rnacentral:rRNA from 1 species
GACAGAGGUCUCGAGCGUUAGGCGGAAUCACUGGGCUUAAAGCGUGUGUAGGUGGAUGCCUAAGUACCUUGUGAAAUCCCACGGCUUAACCGUGGAACUGCUUGGUAUACUGGGUGUCUUGAGCCAGCUAGGGGCUACCGGAACAAAUGGUGGAGCGGUGAAAUGCGUAGAUAUCAUUUGGAACGCCAAUGGUGAAAACGACUCGCUGGGGAAGUGCUGACGCUGAGACACGAAAGCCAGGGGAGCGAACGGG